UACGUAGGGGGCGAGCGUUGUCCGGAAUUACUGGGCGUAAAGCGCGCGUAGGCGGGUUAUUAAGUCAGAUGUGAAAACUCUGGGCUCAACCGAGAGCAUGCAUCUGAUACUGGUAAUCUUGAGUGUAGAAGAGGAGAGUGGAAUUCCUAGUGUAGCGGUGAAAUGCGUAGAUAUUAGGAGGAACACCAGUGGCGAAGGCGACUCUCUGGUCUAUAACUGACGCUGAGGCGCGAAAGCGUGGGGAGCAAACAGGAUUAGAUACCCGCGUAGUCC
rnacentral:rRNA from 1 species